GACGAACGCUGGCGGCGUGCCUAAUACAUGCAAGUAGAACGCUGAAGGAGGAGCUUGCUCUUCUGGAUGAGUUGCGAACGGGUGAGUAACGCGUAGGUAACCUGCCUGGUAGCGGGGGAUAACUAUUGGAAACGAUAGCUAAUACCGCAUAAGAGUAGAUGUUGCAUGACAUUUGCUUAAAAGGUGCAAUUGCAUCACUACCAGAUGGACCUGCGUUGUAUUAGCUAGUUGGUGGGGUAACGGCUCACCAAGGCGACGAUACAUAGCCGACCUGAGAGGGUGAUCGGCCACACUGGGACUGAGACACGGCCCAGACUCCUACGGGAGGCAGCAGUAGGGAAUCUUCGGCGAUGGACGGAAGUCUGACCGAGCAACGCCGCGUGAGUGAAGAAGGGUUUCGGAUCGUAAAGCUCUGUUGUAAGAGAAGAACGAGUGUGAGAGUGGAAAGUUCACACUGUGACGGUAUCUUACCAGAAAGGGACGGCUAACUACGUG
rnacentral:rRNA from 1 species